rnacentral:tRNA from 1 species
UCCCUGGUGGCUCAGAUGGUAAAGAUUUUGCCUGCAAUGCAAGAGACCCAGGUUCAAUUCCUGGGUUGGGAA